AGAACGAACGCUGGCGGCAUGCCUAAUACAUGCAAGUCGAACGAACACUUCGGUGUUAGUGGCGCACGGGUGCGUAGCGCGUGGGAAUCUGCCCUUGGGUUCGGAAUAACAGUUGGAAACGACUGCUAAUACCGGAUGAUGACGAAAGUCCAAAGAUUUAUCGCCCAGGGAUGAGCCCGCGUAGGAUUAGCUAGUUGGUGAGGUAAGGCUCACCAAGGCGACGAUCCUUAGCUGGUCUGAGAGGAUGAUCAGCCACACGUGGGACUGAGACACCGGCCCAGACCUCCGUACGGGAGGCAGCGAGGUAGGGAAUAGUGGACAAGUGGGACGCAAGCCUGACUCCAAGCAAGUCGCGCG
rnacentral:rRNA from 1 species